UUAUAAUCCAGCACAUGUUAU
rnacentral:piRNA from 1 species